CAACAGCACCAACUCCAGUAUCUAUUAGCAACAGCAGCAACUCCAGUAUCUAUAGCAACAGCACCAACUCCAGUAUCUAUAGCAGCAGCAGCACCACCUCCAGUAUCUAUAGCAACAGCACCAACUCCAGUAUCUAUAGCAGCAGCAUCAACUCCAGUAUCUAUAGCAACAGAGGCAACUCCAGUAUCUAUAGCAACAGCACCAACUCCAGUAUCUAUAGCAACAGCAGCACCAACUCCAGUAUCUAUAGCAACAGCACCAACUCCAGUAUCUAUAGCAACAGCACCAACUCCAGUAUCUAUAGCAGCAGCAGCACCAACUCCAGUCUCUAUUAGCAACAGCACCAACUCCAGUAUCUAUAGCAACAGCAGCACCAACUCCAGUAUCUAUAGCAACAGCAGCACCAACUCCAGUAUCUAUAGCAACAGCACCAACUCCAGUAUCUAUAGCAGCAGCAGCACCACCUCCAGUAUCUAUAGCAACAGCACCACCUCCAGUAUCUAUAGCAACAGCACCAACUCCAGUAUCUAUAGCAGCAGCACCAACUCCAGUAUCCAUAGCAACAGCACCAACUCCAGUAUUUAUAGCAACAGCACCAACUCCAGUAUCUAUAGCAACAGCACCAACUCCAGUAUAUAUAGCAGCAGUAUCUAUAGCAACAGCACCAACUCCAGUAUCUAUAGCAACAGCACCAACUCCAGUAUCUAUAGCAACAGCACCAACUCCAGUAUAUAUAGCAGCAGUAUCUAUAGCAACAGCACCAACUCCAGUAUCUAUAGCAACAGCACCAACUCCAGUAUAUAUAGCAGCACCACCAACUCCAGUAUCUAUAGCAACAGCGCCACUAACUCCAGUAUCUAUAGCAACAUCACCAACUCCAGUAUCUAUAGCAGCAGCACCAACUGCAGUAUCUAUAGCAACAGCACCAACUCCAGUAUCCAUGACAACAGCACCAACUCCAGUAUCCAGAGUAGCAGCAGCACCAACUCCAGUAUCUAUAGCAACAGCAGCACCAACUCCAGUAUCUAUAGCAACAUCACCAACUCCAGUAUCUAUGGCAGCAGCAGCACCAACUCCAGUAUCUAUAACAGCAGUAUCUAUAGCAACAGCAGCAAUUCCAGCAUCCAUAGCAGCAGCAGCAUCAACCAGAUGUGA
rnacentral:lncRNA from 1 species